rnacentral:snRNA from 13 species
AAAAAAAAAAAAAAUCUGUUCUUAUCAGUUUAAUAUCUGAUACGUCCCCUAUCUGGGGACCAUAUAUUAAAUUGAUUUUUGGAAUAGGGAGAUGGAAUAGGGGCUUGCUCCGUCCACUCCACGCAUCGACCUGGUAUUGCAGUACCUCCAGGAACGGUGCACCCCCU